CCCGUCACACCAUGGGAGUUGGUUUCACACGAAGGCGUUGCGCUAACUCGCAAGAGAGGCAGGCGACUACGGUGGGAUCAGCGACUGGGGUG
rnacentral:rRNA from 1 species